CCUACGGGAGGCAGCAGUGGGGAAUUUUCCGCAAUGGGCGAAAGCCUGACGGAGCAACGCCGCGUGAGGGAUGAAGGCCUCUGGGCUGUAAACCUCUUUUAUCAAGGAAGAAGAUCUGACGGUACUUGAUGAAUAAGCCACGGCUAAUUCCGUGCCAGCAGCCGCGGUAAUACGGGAGUGGCAAGCGUUAUCCGGAAUUAUUGGGCGUAAAGCGUCCGCAGGCGGUCUUGUAAGUCUGUCGUUAAAGCGUGGAGCUUAACUCCAUUUCGGCGGUGGAAACUACAAGACUAGAGUGUGGUAGGGGCAGAGGGAAUUCCCGGUGUAGCGGUGAAAUGCGUAGAUAUCGGGAAGAACACCAGUGGCGAAGGCGCUCCGCUGGGCCAUAACUGACGCUCAUGGACGAAAGCUAGGGGAGCGAAAGGGAUUAGAUACCCCUGUAGUCCUAGCCGUAAACGAUGACACUAGGUGUCGGGGUAAUCGACCCCGUCGGUGUCGUAGCUACGCGUUAAGUGUUCCGCGUGGGUAGGUACGCGACGCAGUGUGAACGUACAAUAGAUUAGUACGGCGUGAGACGUGCCGACGGCGACGACGAGGGAGUAGG
rnacentral:rRNA from 1 species